ACUCCUACGGGAGGCAGCAGUGGGGAAUCUUGCACAAUGGGGGAAACCCUGAUGCAGCGACGCCGCGUGAGUGAUGAAGCCCUUCGGGGUGUAAAGCUCUUUCGACGGGAACGAUUAUGACGGUACCCGGAGAAGAAGCUGCGGCUAACUACGUGCCAGCAGCCGCGGUAAU
rnacentral:rRNA from 1 species